GAUGAACGCUGGCGGUGUGCCUAAUACAUGCAAGUCGAGCGAACAGACGAGGAGCUUACUCCUCUGACGUUAGCGGCGGACGGGUGAGUAACACGUGGAUAACCUCCCUAUAAGACUGGGAUAACUUCGGGAAACCGGAGCUAAUACCGGAUAACAUGUUGAACCGCAUGGUUCAACAGUGAAAGACGGUCUUGCUGUCACUUAUAGAUGGAUCCGCGUCGCAUUAGCUGGUUGGUAAGGUAACGGCUUGUCAGGGGUACGAGGGGUGGACGAACUGAGAGAGGGAUAGGCGACACUGGAGGUGGAACGCGGUCCAGGCUCCUACGGGAGGCAGCAGUAGGGAAUGUUCCGCAAUGGGCGAAAGCCUGGCGGAGCAACGCCGCGUGAGUGAAGGAGAUCUUCGGAUCGUGAAACUCUGUUAUUAGGGAAGAACAGAUGUGUAAGUAACUGUACACGUCUUGACGGUACCUGAUCAGAAAGCCACGGCUAACUACGUG
rnacentral:rRNA from 1 species